UACAGGGGGUGCAAACGUUUGCUCGGAAUCAUUGGGCGUAAAGCGUACGUAGGCGGUUCGUUAUGUCGGAUGUGAAAGCCCUUGGCUUAACCGAGGAAGUGCAUCCGAAACUGGCGAGCUAGAGUACGAAAGAGGAUCGCGGAAUUCCCGGUGUAGAGGUGAAAUUCGUAGAUAUCGGGAGGAACACCGGUGGCGAAGGCGGCGAUCUGGGUCGAUACUGACGCUGAGGUGCGAAAGCGUGGGGAGCAAACAGG
rnacentral:rRNA from 1 species